rnacentral:lncRNA from 1 species
CCCAGGAAACAUCUAACAUAUAUUUGUUGCUAUUGCUAGGUUCAGGACCCAGACAGGUGAAUGUUACAUUGGAUCUGCUACCAGUAAUAUUUCACAUUGUGAUUAUGAAAUUGUAACCAUAGUGUUUGGUGAUGCCUCUAGGAAAAAAGGUAGAAUGUUAGCAUUAACAAAUGUUCUGUUUUCUUUCAUAUGUCUAAUGAUUGUAGAACCCCAUUCUUUAAAUGGAUGGAUAUAGUUUGUAAAAUAUGACUUAGGAUUUGUUAAUGUUGUUGAGCCAUCACCUGUACCUAUCAUGACAGUGGUAGUACUUGCCUACAGAAACUCCCAGAUUAUUUUGAUAUCAAUAUUAAGGUUUAGUUGUAGUUGUAAGAUCUAAUUUUUCAAUUUUCUUGCAAGGUGAUGUGGGCACAGUUUCCGUUCACGCUAAAAAGAGGCUCUUGGCUCAUGCCCUACAAAAUCCUCAAAACCAACAAUUUUGUCUUUAUGAGAGCUAGGCUAAUCAUUUUCAUUCGUUCCUAUCUAAGUCUGAGUGAUGGGCCCCUAUACUAACACUUUAUUCUAAUUGCCGUUGUAUACUACUCGAUAAUUUUGAUUCUAUAUAUAAGUGUAGGGUGCAGUACCAAGAUGGCAGGCAAAACAACUUUCCUAAUUCUCCAGGAUGCGCACAAAAGGCAGCCUCCAAGAGUCCCAGUUAGGUAGUUAGGCACAACACAAUGCAUACCGUAUUUACGGCUUUUAUCGGACAUGCUUUGUUGGUAGUUACAUUGGAGUUUUCACUGUUCACUUAAGCUUAUCAGCCGAAUCUGCCAGCCAUUUAGUGUUUUUCUCUCACAACAAAUCAGCCAAUAGUACUUUUUGCUAUGGCUUAUCAGCCGCUUUGCUUAUUAGAACUUUCUCGAUCCAUGUCUAAAACUUUCCAUGUUACUACAGGUAUGUGCGAGGGCGCACGCACUGCACUAGUUUUGUUAGGCCAGUCUCAAUGGAAGUUUUAAGUGAGUUUUAUUUGCUUUAAAUAGGUUGUCACAUAGCCAUUUUUCACGAUGUGGUAGUGUAUUUAAGAAGA